rnacentral:misc_RNA from 1 species
GGAAAGCUGUGAUCUUUUUUUUUAACGUCGAUAAGAAUGGCAUGCAAUUAUGGGAGUUCCAAAGUAAAACUAAAAACAAAAUGAAAUCAUGUCUAGUUCUGUUGCCGCUACUCUGACCAAACAGAUUCACAUUAUUUUCCAACCCAUUACCAGGAUCAAAUCCAUACCAGACACCAAACAAGAACAAACAAGAAGAUCACAGCUUUCCUCAAAAUUCAAGGCAAGAAUCCCAUGCCUAAAUCAAGCAGCCAUCGGAUGGUUAUAAACAUACUCAAUAGCAAGAUUACAGGAGUCAAUCUUAACUGCUUCCUUGUCUGGAAUUUCCAGCUUGAACUCCUCUUCUAUAGCCAUUAUAAUCUCUACAUUGUCCAAGCUAUCCAAACCCAG